CUCUAUCAGAAGGGCAUGGAUGAGAAGAGACUCUGAAAGACCCCCGAGUGGGGAGACCCUCACUCAAGUCUCGGGAUGACAUGACCCCCCAAGAACUCACGUAAGACC
rnacentral:pre_miRNA from 14 species